CAGCCGCCGCGGUAAUACGUAGGUGGCAAGCGUUGUCCGGAAUUAUUGGGCGUAAAGGGCUCGCAGGCGGUUUCUUAAGUCUGAUGUGAAAGCCCCCGGCUCAACCGGGGAGGGUCAUUGGAAACUGGGAAACUUGAGUGCAGAAGAGGAGAGUGGAAUUCCACGCGUAGCGGUGAAAUGCGUAGAGAUGUGGAGGAACACCAGUGGCGAAGGCGACUCUCUGGUCUGUAACUGACGCUGAUGAGCGAAAGCGUGGGGAGCGAACAGGAUUAGAUACCCCUGUAGUCCCUGUCUCUUAUAC
rnacentral:rRNA from 1 species